AUAGGGUCUACAAACACUGGAUAAUGGUCUCAUUAAAUAUCGUUUUAAGGGAAACGCGUUAUCUCCUACGAAGAAAUAUGGCACUUUUUCCUAGCUCUCAUCAUGUGGCAAACAAGCACUAGCGGGUAGAUUUAGACCAUUUCCUUCCAACCACUGACCUAAAUUUGAUGCAAGAAAAAUUCCUCCAUCAUUAUUUCUGCCUGCAUAGCCGGUUUCUAUCAUUGUGAAUAAGCCAUAUGCAUCACAAACCGCAAGUAAAACAAUUGAGUGGUAGUGUUUGCAGUUGUAAUUUGUUGAUCCAGAGUUGGGAAUUGUUUGUAUUGUGUUUGUAUUGUAACGUGCUUGCCAUCAAUUGCUCCUAAGCAGUUAGUUCAAGAGUGUAAGGAAAAAUGGCGCAACAUCAGAUCUUCAUUUCUACGAAGUAUGAACACCCCUCCAAGUGGUUCUAAAGCAAAAAAACCGUAUUACCUCAAGGUAUAUUUGCAAUUUAUACUGCCUUAUGUAAAAGCAGUAAAUACUUCCGAAAAUAAUGGCAAUGUCCCAGAACCUAUUCCUGAUGAAGACCGUUGUUGUGAAAAUCUAGCAACAGAAGACCUUCAAAUGAAAAUUUUAAUAAAAAUUCUCGGAAUGACGACUUUAAUUUAACAGAAGAAACAAAUCGACCUGCAUCAUUAGCAAAACAGAAAACAAUACAACAUUUAUCAGCAACGCCAGCAUCUACCUCAAUGAGUACCGUUCGAUGUCGUAAACGUUACAAUACAGAAGGUGAGCAAACAUUUCAGUCAACUAUUUAAAAGCAAAAACAAGAAAGGUUCAAGAUGUGGAGAACUCUGAAAAUAAAGAAAAAAUCAGCCACAUGCAUCACUUCUUACUUAUCACAUGCAUCACUUCUUACUAGAAGAACAACAAAGGAAAUUUAAAAUCAAACUGAUGAUCCUUGUUGAUGAAAUAAAAUUGCAAAAUUUUCAACCUACAUUCAAUCCAUCCUUCUCAUCUUCAUUCGAAAGACCAUCUACCAGCCGCUCUGUACUAACACCUUUAGUGUCUCCUGAUCGACCGAUUCACUCUCCAGAAGAAACUUAUUACAGUGAAAUUCCGACAGCACAAUCAGAGUCAGCCGUAGCACCAAAUGUUUACUCUUUUUUUUCGAAUUUCAAUACAGAUAAUGUAGAGUA